CCCUUAGAUGUUCUGGGCCGCACGCGCGCUACACUGACGAUGGCAACGAGUUUUUCCUUCGCCGAAAGGUGUGGGUAAUCUUUUGAAACAUCGUCGUGCUGGGGAUAGAUCAUUGCAAUUUUUGAUCUUGAACGAGGAAUUCCUAGUAAGCGCGAGUCAUCAGCUCGCGUUGAUUACGUCCCUGCCCUUUGUACACACCGCCCGUCGCUACUACCGAUUGAAUGGUUUAGUGAGGACUCCUGAUUGGCGCCUCCGCCCCGGCAACGGAGCAGCGGACUGCCGAAAAGUUGUUCAAACUUGAUCAUUUAGAGGAAGUAAAAGUCGUAACA
rnacentral:rRNA from 1 species